rnacentral:rRNA from 2 species
GGACGCAAGUCUGAUGGAGCAACGCCGCGUGAGUGAAGAAGGUCUUCGGAUCGUAAAACUCUGUUGUUAGAGAAGAACACGAGUGAGAGUAACUGUUCAUUCGAUGACGGUAUCUAACCAGCAAGUCACGGCUAACUACGUGCCAGCAGCCGCGGUAAUACGUAGGUGGCAAGCGUUGUCCGGAUUUAUUGGGCGUAAAGGGAACGCAGGCGGUCUUUUAAGUCUGAUGUGAAAGCCUUCGGCUUAACCGGAGUAGUGCAUUGGAAACUAGAAGACUUGAGUGCAGAAGAGGAGAGUGGAACUCCAUGUGUAGCGGUGAAAUGCGUAGAUAUAUGGAAGAACACCAGUGGCGAAAGCGGCUCUCUGGUCUGUAACUGACGCUGAGGUUCGAAAGCGUGGGUAGCAAACAGGAUUAGAUACCCUGGUAGUCCACGCCGUAAACGAUGGAUGCUAGGUGUUGGAGGGUUUCCGCCCUUCAGUGCCGCAGCUAACGCAAUAAGCAUUCCGCCUGGGGAGUACGACCGCAAGGUUGAAACUCAAAGGAAUUGACGGGGGCCCGCACAAGCGGUGGAGCAUGUGGUUUAAUUCGAAGCAACGCGAAGAACCUUACCAGGUCUUGACAUCCUUUGACCACCUAAGAGAUUAGGCUUUCCCUUCGGGGACAAAGUGACAGGUGGUGCAUGGCUGUCGUCAGCUCGUGUCGUGAGAUGU